rnacentral:rRNA from 1 species
ACACGGCCCAGACUCCUACGGGAGGCAGCAGUGGGGAAUAUUGCGCAAUGGGCGAAAGCCUGACGCAGCGACGCCGCGUGAGGGACGAAGGCCUUCGGGUUGUAAACCUCUUUCAGCAGGGACGAAGCGAAAGUGACGGUACCUGCAGAAGAAGCACCGGCCAACUACGUGCCAGCAGCCGCGGUAAUACGUAGGGUGCAAGCGUUGUCCGGAAUUAUUGGGCGUAAAGAGCUCGUAGGUGGUCUGUUGCGUCGGCUGUGAAACCCCGAGGCUCAACCUCGGGCCUGCAGCCGAUACGGGCAGACUAGAGUUCGGCAGGGGAGACUGGAAUUCCUGGUGUAGCGGUGAAAUGCGCAGAUAUCAGGAGGAACACCGGUGGCGAAGGCGGGUCUCUGGGCCGAUACUGACACUGAGGAGCGAAAGCGUGGGGAGCGAACAGGAUUAGAUACCCUGGUAGUCCACGCCGUAAACGUUGGGCGCUAGGUGUGGGUUCCCUUCCACGGGAUCCGUGCCGCAGCUAACGCAUUAAGCGCCCCG